rnacentral:rRNA from 1 species
AUGAACGCUGGCGGCGUGCUUAACACAUGCAAGUCGAGCGAGAAGUUUUGAAAAGAUUCUUCGGAUGAAAUUUAAAAUGGAAAGCGGCGGACGGGUGAGUAACGCGUAGGCAACCUGCCCCAUACAAAGGGAUAGCAUUUGGAAACGAAUAUUAAUACCUUAUGAACCUUAACUAGUGCAUGCUAGGUAUGUCAAAGAUUUAUCGGUAUGGGAUGGGCCUGCGUCUGAUUAGCUAGUUGGUGAGGUAACGGCUCACCAAGGCGACGAUCAGUAGCCGACCUGAGAGGGUGAACGGCCACAUUGGAACUGAGACACGGUCCAAACUCCUACGGGAGGCAGCAGUGGGGAAUAUUGCACAAUGGGGGAAACCCUGAUGCAGCAACGCCGCGUGAACGAUGAAGGCCUUUGGGUCGUAAAGUUCUGUUCUAGGUGAUGAAAACUGACAGUAACCUAGGAGAAAGCCCCGGCUAACUCCGUG